ACAAAUAUGCUGAAAUGGUAGACAGGCUGUUCUUAGGAAACAGUGGCGUUAAGUCUUGUGGGUUCAAGUCCCACUAUUUGUA
rnacentral:tRNA from 1 species